GACAGAGGGUGCAAACGUUGUUCGGAAUUACUGGGCGUAAAGCGCGUGUAGGCGGCAGGGCAAGUCGGAUGUGAAAGCCCACGGCUCAACCGUGGAAGUACACCCGAAACUGCCUCGCUAGAGUCUCGGAGAGGAAGGUGGAAUGCUUGGUGUAGAGGUGAAAUUCGUAGAUAUCAAGCGGAACACCGGUGGCGAAGGCGGCCUUCUGGACGAUGACUGACGCUGAGACGCGAAAGCGUGGGGAGCAAACAGG
rnacentral:rRNA from 1 species